rnacentral:rRNA from 1 species
CCUACGGGAGGCAGCAGUGAGGAAUAUUGGUCAAUGGACGAGAGUCUGAACCAGCCAAGUCGCGUGAAGGAAGACUGCCCUAUGGGUUGUAAACUUCUUUUAUAUGGGAAUAAAAUUUUCCACGUGUGGGAUUUUGUAUGUACCAUAUGAAUAAGCAUCGGCUAACUCCGUGCCAGCAGCCGCGGUAAUACGGAGGAUCCGAGCGUUAUCCGGAUUUAUUGGGUUUAAAGGGAGCGUAGGUGGAUUGUUAAGUCAGUUGUGAAAGUUUGGGGCUCAACCGUAAAAUUGCAGUUGAAACUGGCAGUCUUGAGUACAGUAGAGGUAGGCGGAAUGCGUGGUGUAGCGGUGAAAUGCUUAGAUAUCACGCAGAACUCCGAUUGCGAAGGCAGUUCACUGGACUGCAACUGACACUGAGGCUCGAAAGUGUGGGUAUCAAACAGGAUUAGAUACCCGUGUAGUC